CAAAUUCCGGUGAAUACGUUCCCGGGUCUUGUACACACCGCCCGUCAGACCAUGGAAGUCACCAACACCCGAAGUCCGAUUCGUCGGCCUAAGGUGGGGGGGAUGAUUGGGGUU
rnacentral:rRNA from 1 species